GAAUCUUUGAUGGUUGAAGAUGAAGAGAAUUGAAAUUGUAUGAACAAUAACGUGCUUUCUUCUUUGUUUCAGGUUUUUGAAUUUGGAUCAGUGCCUUUGAAGACUUACUUACCUGAUGGAGAUAUUGAUCUCACAGUUUUUGGCAUCAGACAAAUUUUGCCUGAAAAUUCCAUUCAUGAGAUUCUGCAAAUCAUACAGAAUCAAAAGGAAAAUGAGUUUGCUGAGUUUAGGGUUAAAGAGGUUAAGCUUGUUCAAGCAGAGGUGAAGGUUAUAAAGUGCUUGAUUGACAGUUUUGCGGUUGACAUAUCUUUCAAUCAAUUGAGUGGUUUAUGUUCACUUUGUUUUCUUGAGGAGGUUGAUCAUUUGAUUGGACAUAAUCAUAUGUUCAAGCGCAGUGUGAUACUGAUAAAGGCUUGGUGUUACUACGAGAGCCGAAUCCUGGGUUCCAACAGUGGACUCUUUUCAACCUAUGGGUUGGAAAUUUUGGUAUUAUACAUAUUUAAUCUUUACAACAAUGAUUUUGCUGGACCACUUCAGGUACUAUUUCGAUUUCUGGAGUUCUUUGCUAAAUUUGACUGGGAAAACUAUUGCGUUAGCUUGAGUGGACCAGUGCCCAAAAGCUCACUUCCUAAUAUGAUAGCCGAGUCUCCAAGAAAAGAUUGCCAAGGCCAAGACUUACUGCUCACUGAAUUGUUUCUCAAUGCUUGCAAGACUUGUUAUGGUAAUAUGCCGCGCAGUCUUGAAAAUGACGAGAAACAUUUUGUUACCAAACACAUCGAUAUCAUAGAUCCUUUGUGUGCAUACAACAAUCUGGGGCGUAGCAUCAAUAAAGGUAGCUUCUUUAGGAUAAAGAAUGCAAUUGCUUUUGGUGCUAAGAGGAUACUGAGAAUUCUAGAAUGCACGGAUGAGAAUUUAAUCGCUGAAUUUGAUUACUUUUUCAAAAGCACAUGGAAUAGAAAUGGGAAUGGUUAUUGGAUUCAUGUAAAUGUUUAUAAUCUUUAUAUAAGAAAUAAAAAAAUUGGAAAGUCAACGCGUCAAGAAUCUGAGGAUGAGCAGGCUCUAGCUUCUCGUGAGUCUCAAUAUGAUAACCAAAAGCCUGAUAACCAAUUAUCAGAUAUGGGACUGCAUAAGGAAGAGCCUGAUUGUUUGAAUAUCUCAGAAAGUAGAAGUACUCUUCAGGUGAGUGGAUAUUUGCAUGCACUGAUGGGUCAGUCUGCUGCUAAGGAAGAACCUGCUGUUGGGAAUAUGACUGAAAAUAACAGGAUUGAAUAUCUGGAAGCAGUAAAAGGUACAAAUUCAAAAAACAAUGAGGCAGUGAGGCAGCAAGAGGAAGAGCAUCAUUUUGAGAGUACUACGAAAAGUUGUACGAGUCUCAAGUCCAAAGGAUACUUGCAGGCACUUUUGGGAGUGAAAAAAAGUGAUGCAUCUUUUUCACCACCGCCACAAAACAUAUCUUGCUCUCUAGAUGUAGUUCAAUUUCCGGAACUACAAGAGUUUCCCCGUGGCAGAAGGUCAUUAAAUUUGGGACAAGGCAGUGUUCAUCCACCUGCUGUAAUAAUCACAGAUAGUAUUGUGAUGAACCCGGAAAUCUGUAAAAACACACCAGCUUCAGACUCAACAUCAGAGACCAGAUUCUCAUCCUUGCCUCUGAAACCAACUCAUGGUCCAUCAAUUGAGAAGGCAGACAUCUUCAGGCAUGAGAACACCACUGCUGAAUCUGACGCCUUAAAUGUUCAUGCGCUUCAAUCACCAUAUGCAUCUGGUUCAUCUAAGAUACAAUUUCCAUUCUCAAUCAGCAAUAGCAGUCAUGUUGAAGCUUCACAUUAUUUAGGGAACCAAUUUUCAGAUAUUUUUAAUGGUGAUUUUGUAAAAUAUUGGACAAAUCUUCAAUAUGGGCGAUAUUGUGAGAUUGAACCAUUAGAGCCUUUGCCUUAUCCUCCCAUUUUUGAACUGCCAAUGGAUUUUCAAGAGCAAUAUCAUUUGAAUAGGCAGCCUUCAAGUUCUGCGAACGUUGUGGCUCCCGUAGUUCCUGACAUGCCACCAACACUUGCUUCUGACUCGCAUGAAGGCAUAAAUCAAAGCGUUUCUUUUUGGCUUCCCAGACUUAGUGGAGGCACUGGGUCUUUCAUGCCAAAUCCACUUGUUUACAACCAGAAAUAUUAUGACCGUGAGCUUUACAACAAACAUCAGAAUGCAAAUUACAGAUCUGAGAGACCAGGGAAUUCGAAUUUCAGCUCAAGGGGAAGGGCUUCUAGAUCCAACAAUGUGCCACGAAAUUUGAAUUCUAAUUUCAGGGAAAGGUUUUCCAGCCGUGGCCAGAAUCAUUAUAGACAACGUGAGAAACUAGAAGGUAAAAAGAAAGCAUUGCAUCAAGGUGAAGGGUCAAGUAGUGCCGUUAAUAAACUUGGAAAUUUUGAAAAGGGUUCGAAAGAUAUUUCUCCAUAUCAGCGCUGAUCGUAAUCCAUUUUUAUCGGGCUUUGACGGACCUAGGUGUUUGUGAUUGUGUGCACCUGCACGCCUUGAACUCUUAAAACUUAAACAUGCCAACCUCUAUUUUUUUUUUUUUUUGCAUUUUGAACCCUCUGGAUUUAUUUUUUGCACUGACCUUCUCGCCGAUACUCUUUCUCAUGCACUAAACUCCAUCUCCUUGUUCCUCCUCUUGGGCAAACCUUCCUCUCUCUCUUCUGUUCAGUUUCCACUUCCUUCCUUCAUGCAAUGCCUCUAACAACCGUGAACAUAACAACUCAACAAGAUAUUUGAUCCAUUUUAUGCAUUGCUUGAAGAGGGAUGGAAUUGUCAUCAUCAACCCAAUGCUCUCAGGUGGUUUUCAUCCGGAGUUUCUAGAGCUUGUAACUUUGUAGGCAAUAUAUUAUGUCCUGUUGUCUAAUGUUAUAAAUGUUGUCAUAUGUAAAGGUUCUGCUUGGACCCUAAACUUUGGUUCAUUGAUAUCAAACUCCAACUUUGAGAAA